GACGAACGCUGGCGGCGUGCUUAACACAUGCAAGUCGAACGUGAUUUUUGUGGAAAUUCUUUCGGGAAUGGAAAUGAAAUGAAAGUGGCGAACGGGUGAGUAACACGUGAGCAACCUACCUUACACAGGGGGAUAGCCGUUGGAAACGACGAUUAAUACCGCAUGAGACCACAGAAUCGCAUGAUAUAGGGGUCAAAGAUUUAUCGGUGUAAGAAGGGCUCGCGUCUGAUUAGCUAGUUGGAAGGGUAAAGGCCUACCAAGGCGACGAUCAGUAGCCGGUCUGAGAGGAUGAACGGCCACAUUGGAACUGAGACACGGUCCAAACUCCUACGGGAGGCAGCAGUGGGGAAUAUUGCACAAUGGGGGGAACCCUGAUGCAGCGACGCCGCGUGAGCGAAGAAGGUUUUCGAAUCGUAAAGCUCUGUCCUAUGAGAAGAUAAUGACGGUAUCAUAGGAGGAAGCCCCGGCUAAAUACGUGCCAGCAGCCGCGGUAAUACGUAUGGGGCGAGCGUUGUCCGGAAUUAUUGGGCGUAAAGGGUACGUAGGCGGUUUUUUAAGUCAGGUGUGAAAGCGUGAAGCUUAACCUCAUUAAGCACUUGAAACUGGAAGACUUGAGUGAAGGAGAGGAAAGUGGAAUUCCUAGUGUAGCGGUGAAAUGCGUAGAUAUUAGGAGGAAUACCGGCGGCGAAGGCGACUUUCUGGACUUUUACUGACGCUCAGGUACGAAAGCGUGGGGAGCAAACAGG
rnacentral:rRNA from 1 species